GAUGAACGCUGGCGGCGUGCUUAACACAUGCAAGUCGAACGGGAAACAUUUUAUUGAAGCUUCGGCAGAUUUAGCUUGUUUCUAGUGGCGGACGGGUGAGUAACGCGUGGGUAACCUGCCUUAUACUGGGGGAUAACAGCCAGAAAUGACUGCUAAUACCGCAUAAGCGCACAGAACCGCAUGGUUCGGUGUGAAAAACUCCGGUGGUAUAAGAUGGACCCGCGUUGGAUUAGCUAGUUGGCAGGGCAGCGGCCUACCAAGGCGACGAUCCAUAGCCGGCCUGAGAGGGUGAACGGCCACAUUGGGACUGAGACACGGCCCAGACUCCUACGGGAGGCAGCAGUGGGGAAUAUUGCACAAUGGGGGAAACCCUGAUGCAGCGACGCCGCGUGAAGGAAGAAGUAUCUCGGUAUGUAAACUUCUAUCAGCAGGGAAGAU
rnacentral:rRNA from 1 species